AUUGAACGCUGGCGGCAUGCCUUACACAUGCAAGUCGAACGGCAGCACGGGAGCUUGCUCCUGGUGGCGAGUGGCGAACGGGUGAGUAAUACAUCGGAACGUACCCUGAAGUGGGGGAUAACGUAGCGAAAGUUACGCUAAUACCGCAUAUUCUGUGAGCAGGAAAGAGGGGGGAUCGCAAGACCUCUUGCUUGAGGAGCGGCCGAUGUCGGAUUAGCUAGUUGGUGAGGUAAAGGCUCACCAAGGCGACGAUCCGUAGCGGGUCUGAGAGGAUGAUCCGCCACACUGGGACUGAGACACGGCCCAGACUCCUACGGGAGGCAGCAGUGGGGAAUUUUGGACAAUGGGCGCAAGCCUGAUCCAGCCAUGCCGCGUGAGUGAAGAAGGCCU
rnacentral:rRNA from 1 species